GUACACAAAAAUGCACAUAUUGUGAGCUCGAUGAGUAGGGCGGGACACGUGGUAUCCUGUCUGAAUAUGGGGGGACCAUCCUCCAAGGCUAAAUACUCCUGACUGACCGAUAGUGAACCAGUACCGUGAGGGAAAGGCGAAAAGAACCCCGGCGAGGGGAGUGAAAAAGAACCUGAAACCGUGUACGUACAAGCAGUGGGAGCCUCUUAAUGGGGUGACUGCGUACCUUUUGUAUAAUGGGUCAGCGACUUAUAUUCUGUAGCAAGGUUAACCGAAUAGGGGAGCCGAAGGGAAACCGAGUCUUAACUGGGCGUUAAGUUGCAGGGUAUAGACCCGAAACCCGGUGAUCUAGCCAUGGGCAGGUUGAAGGUUGGGUAACACUAACUGGAGGACCGAACCGACUAAUGUUGAAAAAUUAGCGGAUGACUUGUGGCUGGGGGUGAAAGGCCAAUCAAACCGGGAGAUAGCUGGUUCUCCCCGAAAGCUAUUUAGGUAGCGCCUCGUGAAUUCAUCUCCGGGGGUAGAGCACUGUUUCGGCAAGGGGGUCAUCCCGACUUACCAACCCGAUGCAAACUGCGAAUACCGGAGAAUGUUAUCACGGGAGACACACGGCGGGUGCUAACGUCCGUCGUGAAGAGGGAAACAACCCAGACCGCCAGCUAAGGUCCCAAAGUCAUGGUUAAGUGGGAAACGAUGUGGGAAGGCCCAGACAGCCAGGAUGUUGGCUUAGAAGCAGCCAUCAUUUAAAGAAAGCGUAAUAGCUCACUGGUCGAGUCGGCCUGCGCGGAAGAUGUAACGGGGCUAAACCAUG
rnacentral:rRNA from 1 species